rnacentral:rRNA from 1 species
UAGCCUUGACAUUGAUUGAACACACUAGAGAUAGAGUGGUGCCCUUCGGGGAACAUGAAAACAGGUGCUGCACGGCUGUCGUCAGCUCGUGUCGUGAGAUGUUGGGUUAAGUCCCGCAACGAGCGCAACCCUCGUCCUUAGUUGCUAGCAGUUCGGCCGAGGACUCUAAGGAGACUGCCUUCGUAAGGAGGAGGAAGGUGAGGACGACGUCAAGUCAUCAUGGCCCUUACGGCUAGGGCAACACACGUGCUACAAUGGUUAGGACAAUGAGAAGCGAUACCGCGAGGUGGAGCAAAUCUAUAAACCUAAUCUCAGUUCGGAUAGCAGUCUGCAACUCGACUGCUUGAAGCUGGAAUCACUAGUAAUCGUAAAUCAGCUAUGUUACGGUGAAUACGUUCCCGGGUCU